UCGAGAAUUUUUCUCAAUGGGGGAAACCCUGAAGGAGCGACGCCGCGUGGAGGAUGAAGGUCUUCGGAUUGUAAACUCCUGUCAUUAGGGAACAAGUGCCGCCGAGUAACUGUCGGCGGCUUGAUAGUACCUGAAGAGGAAGAGACGGCUAACUCUGUGCCAGCAGCCGCGGUAAUACAGAGGUCUCAAGCGUUGUUCGGAUUCAUUGGGCGUAAAGGGUGCGUAGGUGGCGCCGUAAGUCAGGUGUGAAAUCUCGGGGCUUAACCCCGAAACUGCACUUGAUACUGCGGUGCUCGAGUACUGGAGAGGAGAUUGGAAUUUACGGUGUAGCAGUGAAAUGCGUAGAUAUCGUAAGGAAGACCAGUGGCGAAGGCGAAUCUCUGGACAGUUACUGACACUGAGGCACGAAGGCCAGGGGAGCAAACGGGAUUAGAUACCCCGGUAGUCCUGGCAGUAAACGGUGCGCGUUUGGUGUGGGAGGAUUCGACCCCUUCUGUGCCGGAGCUAACGCGUUAAACGCGCCGCCUGGGGAGUACGGUCGCAAGAUUAA
rnacentral:rRNA from 1 species